ACAAAAUAUAUAUAAUAAUAAAAUUAGUGAGUUACUAAUAUACAAAGAAAAGGCUCUUGUUAAGUUUAUAUAUAUAUAUGCGAGUUAAAACACUAGCAAAAUAUCUAUGUUUAAUUUAAAAGCAAAGUAACAUAGUACUGAAAUUAACAAUGAAACCAAAAGUGGACGAAGUAUUGCUUGUCGAUGAUACAAGUUCCGAUGAAGAGCAAGAGGCAGCAAAAAACAAUAUUAAAGUUCAAACUGAGACCGACGAAGAAUUGCUAUGUACAGAUAGAAAAAUUAACAAAGAUGUCAACACUUUAGCGUGUAUAAAUAGUGAAUCAGAUACAGAAGAUGAGGUCAAACUUUCUAAAAGUAAUAAGAAGGAUGUAGACACUUUAGUACACAUAGAUACUAGUGACAGUGAAUCAGAUUCGUAUCAUAAUUUGGACAAAGAAAAGCCAUCAACAUCAGGGGUUAGACGACGCCAUUUACCUUGUGAUAGUAGCAAUUCUAUGCAUUUAGAGGACCACAGUCCAAGCUUCCAUGUAAGAUCUCGCACUACAGCCAUAGAGAAUGUCCAAAGAAAUUCGAAUAGCAUAUAUGAAAGUUUAGAUUAUGAAGUAUGUGAAAAUAAACUUUACCGAAAUGCUCAAAGAAAAUCUCAAACUAGACGUUUUCAUCUUCAGAGAGAUAUUUUACGUUGGAUUAUUUUUAUAAAAAUUGGUGUAAUAACUGCAUUAGUAGCUUGUGUUAUUGACAUUAUAAUUGAAGCAUUAUCAACACGAAAAUACGAACUCCUCAAAAAAUCCGUUGAUGCAAAUGUACCUAUUUCCACUGGUAUGGGUGGGGAUUUAGUUAUACCAUACCUUUUAUGGAUGACUGUUAGUGUGAUACCUGUUGCACUGGGCGCUACUUUGGUAACAUAUAUAGAGCCUAUAACAGCUGGUAGUGGUAUACCACAGGUAAAAGCAUAUUUAAAUGGCGUCAAAAUACCAAGAAUUGUUCGGAUCAAAACACUAGCCGUAAAAGCCAUUGGUGUAAUCACAUCUGUUGUCGGUGGCUUAGCUGGCGGAAAGGAAGGACCAAUGAUACAUGCAGGUGCUGUUGUAGCUGCUGGUAUAUCGCAAGGAAAAAGUACAAGUUUUAAUAUUGAUAGCGGCAUAUAUCAAGCUUUCCGUAAUGACCAUGAGAAACGUGAUUUUGUUCUAGGAGGUAGCGCAGCUGGUGUAGCUGCUGCCUUCGGCUCUCCUAUAGGUGGAAUGUUAUUUUCACUUGAAGAAGCCGCUAGUUUCUGGAAUCAAAAUUUGAUUUGGCGUACUUUGAUUGCAUCGAUUAUUAGUUCAUUUACUUUAAAUAUUGUUUUAUCGGCUUAUCAUGGAUUAAAUAACUUCACUUUUACUGGAUUAUUUAACUUAGGUCAAUUCGAUCAACCGCUGACUUUUGAAUAUUUCGAAUUACCUAUAUUUUUAUUAUUGGGUGUAUCUUGCGGUCUAUUGGGCGCUAUUUGGAAUUCAAUAAAUACAAAAAUCAAUCGUUUUCGAAGUCGCUUUAUUAAAUUUAAGUUUGCUAAAGUUGUAGAAGCAGCAUUUGUUGCAUUAAUGGGAGUAACAUUAGCAUGCACAUCGAUUUAUUUUAUAAACGAUUGCCGACAGUUAGGAAAUGAUCCUACUGACUAUCCUGUGCAGUUGUUUUGUGAUGACAAUGAGUAUAAUGCAGUGGCUGCACUUUGGUUUCAAACGCCGGAAGCAACUGUCAGAGCACUUUUCCAUGAUCCUCCAGGCUCACAUAAAAUACUGACAUUAACUAUUUUUACAAUCAUAUAUUAUUUCCUAUCUUGCUUUACUUUCGGCUUAAAUGUUUCAUUGGGAGUAUUCAUACCAACUGCACUUGUAGGUGCUGCAUGGGGAAGACUUGUUGCAGCUAUAUUUUACUAUCUCUUCCCACAAGCUCACUUUUUAAAUCCCGGAAAGUAUGCGUUAAUCGGAGCUGCGGCAAAUUUGGGUGGCGUACUUCGUAUGACAAUAAGUCUUUCCGUUAUUUUAAUGGAAACAACUGGAGUUGAAACUUCAUUCUUUUUCCCGCUCAUUUUAACGCUCAUAAGCGCUAAAUGGGUAGGCGACUAUUUUAAUGAUGGCCUUUAUGAUAUACAAGUAAAAAUCAAUAAUGUCCCGAUGUUGCCAUGGGAACCACAACCCAAAUAUAUGGGUUUAAAAGCAGCGCAAAUUAUGAGCUCACCAGUGAUCUGCUUUCGCUUACGCGAGAAUGCCAAAUAUGUUUUUGAUGUUUUAAAGAAGUGCAAUCAUAAUGGAUUUCCAAUUGUGGAAGAUGUGAAUGAAAGAGAACGUACACGUGGUCGAGUAAGUGGGAUUAUAUUGCGUUCUCAAUUGAUUGUCAUAUUACUAAAGUCACUUUAUGACGAAAAGAAGAGGUUUUGGCAAAAAGAAACCACAAUACAAACAUUUACAAAUCUUUAUCCACGGUUUCCGUCUAUUAAUGAUUUCAAAAUGAAUGACGAUUAUGUCGACUUCACCAUUAAUUUUGACAUAUUUAUGAAUCCGUCACCAGUGCGCGUCAGUGAGCAUGACUCAGUUCCUAAAAUAUUCAACAAAUUUCGCGCGCUUGGUUUGAGACAUAUGAUAGUCAUCGAUAGAGAAAAUCGUGUGUCCGGUAUUAUAACCCGAAAGGAUUUCUUAUACAAAUAGAUAAUCGCAUAAGAUAAAAAUUUAUUUUAAAUAUUCGUUUAUAAGUUAUUCAUUUAUAAAAUCAUCACCCCUACUCUGAAUGAUAUAUCAAUGGCAGUUUUUUCCCUAUUCCCACUUCCCUUAUUCUGAAUAAAAGGGGAAUGGAAAUUUUUUCCCUAUUUCCGAGCAAGAAGAUUAGAAGUAAAAAAGUUAAAAGGAGUUUAAUUUAAUAUGAGACAGCUGUAAUAAGCGAUGUAAGCGAUUCAGAAUAGGGGAAUUCGAUUCGAUGGAAAAGUGUAUUUUGGGAAAAACUUAUUAGUUGCGAAAAUUCAAAAUAGGGGUUGAAUAACACAUCACUCAAUAAGUCGUGUGACUAACUAAGAAAAACAAAUUCUUUCUGCCAAACCUUCAAGGACAAUACAAUUAUUCCAACGCUUCUCUAAGUUCUCGACGUCGUGCUUGUAGAACGAUUUGUCUUUUACCUCAAAAUAGGCUUCAGUUUCAGCAAUUACUUCAUUUAAGAUGAAUUUCUUACCGGCGAGCAUU